rnacentral:rRNA from 1 species
AGCGAACGCUGGCGGCAGGCCUAACACAUGCAGGUCGAACGAAGUCUUCGGACUUAGUGGCGGACGGGUGAGUAACACGUGGGAACGUGCCCUUUGGUACGGAAUAACUCAGGGAAACUUGAGCUAAUACCGUAUGUGCCCUUCGGGGGAAAGAUUUAUCGCCAUUGGAGCGGCCCGCGUCUGAUUAGCUAGUUGGUGAGGUAAAGGCUCACCAAGGCGACGAUCAGUAGCUGGUCUGAGAGGAUGAUCAGCCACCUUGGGUCUGAGACACGGCCCAAACUCCUACGGGAGGCAGCAGGGGGGAAUCUUGCGCAAUGGGCGAAAGCCUGACGCAGCCAUGCCGCGUGAAUGAUGAAGGUCUUAGGAUUGUAAAAUUCUUUCACCGGGGACGAUAAUGACGGUACCCGGAGAAGAAGCCCCGGCUAACUUCGUGCCAGCAGCCGCGGUAA